UACGUAGGGUGCGAGCGUUGUCCGGAAUUAUUGGGCGUAAAGAGCUCGUAGGCGGUGUGUCGCGUCGGCCGUGAAAACCCGGGGCUCAACCCCGGGCCUGCAGUCGAUACGGGCAGACUAGAGUGCGGUAGGGGAGACUGGAAUUCCUGGUGUAGCGGUGAAAUGCGCAGAUAUCAGGAGGAACACCGGUGGCGAAGGCGGGUCUCUGGGCCGUAACUGACGCUGAGGAGCGAAAGCGUGGGGAGCAAACAGG
rnacentral:rRNA from 1 species